rnacentral:rRNA from 1 species
UACGUAGGUGGCAAGCGUUGUCCGGAUUUACUGGGCGUAAAGGAUGCGUAGGCGGACAUUUUAAGUCAGAUGUGAAAUACCCGAGCUUAACUUGGGUGCUGCAUUUGAAACUGGGUGGCUAGAGUGCAGGAGAGGAGAGUGGAAUUCCUGGUGUAGCGGUGGAAUGCGCAGAUAUCAGGAAGAACACCCGUGGCGAAGGCGGCUCUCUGGAACGCAACUGACGCUGAGACGCGAAAGCGUGGGGAGCAAACAGG